UUUUGGCUAAGAUCAAGUGUAGUAUCUG
rnacentral:piRNA from 3 species